GGGGCCGAUUUUGGAUUUGACAGCAAGAUGAUAAAUCGGGUAAGCAUGUGGAGCACUUGUUAGCGCGGCUCGUUAAACUCGAACUUUCAAGUCAGAAAUGACAACAAUUCCUACGCGCUCGCAGCCUAAUCGACUCAGUCGAUAAGCCUAAUUCACGUCACCAGGUGACGGAACGAGCUAUCCCGAAGCAACGUACGGACCCUUCCGCGGCUUCAAUGGGGUAUCAGGUAAAUGGGACUAGUAAAGGGUGUGUCCGACGCCCGGCGCGAAAUCUACUGGACUAAGCCGCUGGGUGGGUUGUCUGUGAUCAGCCUCCGGUCGAAAACCAAUUGCAGAAUAAACAUGUAGAAAGCACGAGUUGUCCUUGUUUGGACGCGGGUUCGACUCCCGCCGGCUCCACUU
rnacentral:tmRNA from 1 species